rnacentral:rRNA from 1 species
UACGGAGGGUGCAAGCGUUAUCCGGAUUCACGGGGUUUAAAGGGUGCGUAGGCGGACAUGUAAGUCCGUGGUGAAAUCUCUAAGCUUAACUUGGAAACUGCCAUGGAUACUAUAUGUCUUGAAUGUUGUGGAGGUUAGCGGAAUAUGUCAUGUAGCGGUGAAAUGCAUAGAUAUGACAUAGAACACCAAUUGCGAAGGCAGCUGGCUACACAAAUAUUGACGCUGAGGCACGAAAGCGUGGGGAUCAAACAGG